rnacentral:rRNA from 1 species
GCCGCGGUAAGACAGAGGUGGCAAGCGUUGUUCGGAAUUACUGGGCGUAAAGAGUCUGUAGGUGGUUUGUCAAGUCUUUGGUGAAAGGCCGUAGCUUAACUAUGGGAAUGCCAAAGAGACUGGCAGGCUGGAGGCUGGGAGAGGGAAGCGGAAUUUCUGGUGUAGCGGUGAAAUGCGUAGAUAUCAGAAGGAAGGCCGGUGGCGAAAGGCGGCUUCCUGGAACAGUCCUGACACUGAGAGACGAAAGCGUGGGGAGCAAACAGGAUUAGAUACCCUGGUAGUCCACGCCCUAAACGAUGGGUACUAAGUGUGGAGGGGUUAAACCCUCCGUGCCGCAGCAAACGCAGUAAGUACCCCGCCUGGGGAGUACGGCCGCAAGGUUGAAACUCAAAGGAUUGACGGGGGCCCGCAC